AUUGAACGCUGGCGGCAGGCUUAACACAUGCAAGUCGAGCGGAGAGAGGUAGCUUGCUACUGAUCUUAGCGGCGGACGGGUGAGUAAUGCUUAGGAAUCUGCCUAUUAGUGGGGGGCAACAUUUCGAAAGGAAUGCUAAUACCGCAUACGUCCUACGGGAGAAAGCAGGGGAUCUUCGGACCUUGCGCUAAUAGAUGAGCCUAAGUCGGAUUAGCUAGUUGGUGGGGUAAAGGCCUACCAAGGCGACGAUCUAUAGCGGGUCUGAGAGGAUGAUCCGCCACACUGGGACUGAGACACGGCCCAGACUCCUAGGGGAGGCAGGAGUGGGGAAUAUUGGACAAUGGGCGGAAGCCUGAGCUAGCCAUGCCGCGUGUGUGAAGAAGGCCUUAUGGUUGUAAAGCACUUUAAGCGAGGAGGAGGCUACUUUAGUUAAUACCUAGAGAUAGUGGACGUUACUCGCAGAAUAAGCACCGGCUAACUCUGUGCCAGCAGCCGCCGUAACAC
rnacentral:rRNA from 1 species